rnacentral:rRNA from 1 species
UACGGAGGGGGCUAGCGUUGUUCGGAAUUACUGGGCGUAAAGCGCGCGUAGGCGGCUUUGUAAGUUAGAGGUGAAAGCCCGGGGCUCAACUCCGGAAUUGCCUUUAAGACUGCAUCGCUAGAAUCAUGGAGAGGUUAGUGGAAUUCCGAGUGUAGAGGUGAAAUUCGUAGAUAUUCGGAAGAACACCAGUGGCGAAGGCGACUAACUGGACAUGUAUUGACGCUGAGGUGCGAAAGCGUGGGGAGCAAACAGG